GCCUGGCUGGCUCAGUCGGCAGAGCGUGCUACUCCUGAUCUUGAGGUCGUGAGUUCAAGCCCCAUGUUGGGCA
rnacentral:tRNA from 1 species